rnacentral:rRNA from 1 species
CUGGAACGCGCCUCGGCGCCCCCAGAAACCCUUUGUGAACUUAUACCUAUUGUUGCCUCGGCGAAGGCCGGCCUCUUCUGAGGCCCCCCGGAAACGGGGAGCAGCCCGCCGGCGGCCAACCAAACUCUUGUUUCUCAGUGAAUCUCUGAGUAAAAAACAUAAAUGAAUCAAAACUUUCAACAACGGAUCUCUUGGUUCUGGCAUCGAUGAAGAACGCAGCGAAAUGCGAUAAGUAAUGUGAAUUGCAGAAUUCAGUGAAUCAUCGAAUCUUUGAACGCACAUUGCGCCCUCUGGUAUUCCGGAGGGCAUGCCUGUUCGAGCGUCAUUUCAACCCUCAAGCCUGGCUUGGUGUUGGGGCACUGCCUCGAGAGAAGCAGGCCCUGAAAUCUAGUGGCGAGCUCGCUAGGACCCCGAGCGUAGUAGUUAUAUCCUCGUUCUGGAAGGCCCUGGCGGUGCCCUGCCGUUAAACCCCCAACUUUCUGAAAAUUUGACCUCG